UACGUAGGGGACAAGCGUUGUCCGGAAUUAUUGGGCGUAAAGAGCUUGUAGGCGGUUUGUCGCGUCUGCUGUGAAAAUCCGGGGCUCAACCCCGGACUUGCAGUGGGUACGGGCAGACUGGAGUGUGGUAGGGGAGACUGGAAUUCCUGGUGUAGCGGUGGAAUGCGCAGAUAUCAGGAGGAACACCGAUGGCGAAGGCAGGUCUCUGGGCCACUACUGACGCUGAGAAGCGAAAGCAUGGGGAGCGAACAGG
rnacentral:rRNA from 1 species